CAGUACGCGGGAAUACGAAGGGUGCAAGCGUUAAUCGGAAUUACUGGGCGUAAAGCGCGCGUAGGUGGUUCAUUAAGUUGGAUAUGAAAGCCCUGGGCUCAACCUGGGAACUGCAUCCAAAACUGGUGAGCUAGAGUACGGUAGAGGAUAGUGGAAUUUCCUGUGUAGCGGUGAAAUGCGUAGAUAUAGGAAGGAACACCAGUGGCGAAGGCGACUACCUGGACUGAUACUGACACUGAGGUGCGAAAGCGUGGGGAGCAAACAGGAUUAGAUACCCCCGUAGUCCCUGUCUCUUAUACAC
rnacentral:rRNA from 1 species